CGAACAACAACAGCGAGAAAACCGUCGAAAUGGCAUAGGCGAGGCAAUUCUUCGGAACCAGCAUCUUCAACAGCAAGCCCAUCAGGUUUUCGCAGGCCAGUAGCUUUCAAGAUGCUGGUUCAGCCAAUGCUUUCCGCUCACUGCUGCUUUGCAAAUCACCGUUAAUGGAGUCGAUCGAGUUAUCUUUAGCGAAGAACUCCCGGUUGUUGGCCGUCAGGAAACGCGUCGGCUCGUCCAGGGCGUAGCUGCCUGUCAUUUUUCCACAUCCUGUACACGACGAACAUCGCCACCAGGAUGUUGCAGAGUAGACCGACUAAGGCACCCGGCUGCGCGAAGAUGCUCGAUGUUCAGUGUUCAGUGCUCGCUGGCGUUUAUGAUCAGAGCGCAGAUGCCGUUCUUCCGGUGCUGACUGUCGUGCCCGUCCGUUGGCGUGAUAUGUCUAGCCAAAUCCAGGCCGUCGGAAAAUUAACGUAUUCGGUCGAAGGAGCAAACGGCUCUAUCGGAUUCCUCGAAGCUGCAACAAAUUGAGUGUCAGAUCGAUCCGGAAUAACAAUGUAAGCAAUGCUUAAGAGAACAUUAGUGGGUAAAUCUUUAAACGGAAAAAUGUCACAACUGAAUGAUUUGCUCAGCCACGAGUUGUGUUCAAUGAAAAUAAAAUUUUUGAAAAAUA